rnacentral:rRNA from 1 species
GAUGAACGCUAGCGACAGGCUUAACACAUGCAAGUCGAGGGGCAUCAUGAGGUAGCAAUACCUUGAUGGCGACCGGCGCACGGGUGAGUAACGCGUAUGCAACCUGCCCGAUACCGGGGUAUAGCCCAUGGAAACGUGGAUUAACACCCCAUAGUACUUUUAUCCUGCAUGGGAUGUGAGUUAAAUGUUCAAGGUAUCGGAUGGGCAUGCGUCCUAUUAGUUAGUUGGCGGGGUAACAGCCCACCAAGACGAUGAUAGGUAGGGGUUCUGAGAGGAAGGUCCCCCACAUUGGAACUGAGACACGGUCCAAACUCCUACGGGAGGCAGCAGUGAGGAAUAUUGGUCAAUGGACGUAAGUCUGAACCAGCCAAGUCGCGUGAGGGAAGACUGCCCUAUGGGUUGUAAACCUCUUUUAUAAGGGAAGAAUAAGUUCUACGUGUAGAAUGAUGCCUGUACCUUAUGAAUAAGCAUCGGCUAACUCCGUGCCAGCAGCCGCGGUAAUACGGAGGAUGCGAGCGUUAUCCGGAUUUAUUGGGUUUAAAGGGUGCGUAGGCGGUUUAUUAAGUUAGUGGUUAAAUAUUUGAGCUAAACUCAAUUGUGCCAUUAAUACUGGUAAACUGGAGUACAGACGAGGUAGGCGGAAUAAGUUAAGUAGCGGUGAAAUGCAUAGAUAUAACUUAGAACUCCGAUAGCGAAGGCAGCUUACCAGACUGUAACUGACGCUGAUGCACGAGAGCGUGG